UACGUAGGGUGCAAGCGUUGUCCGGAAUUAUUGGGCGUAAAGCGUGCGCAGGCGGCUUCUCAAGUCAGAUGUGAAAGCCCCGGGCUCAACCUGGGAAUUGCAUUUGAGACUGCUCUGCUCGGGUGCGGAAGAGGGAAGCGGAAUUUCCGGUGUAGCGGUGAAAUGCGUAGAUAUCGGAAGGAACACCAGUGGCGAAAGCGGCUUCCUGGUCCGACACCGACGUUCAGGCACGAAAGCGUGGGGAGCAAACAGG
rnacentral:rRNA from 1 species